AAGAUUAUCAAUACUAUGGCAGUGACACAUGAACUCGAAUUUAAAAAAAUAAAAUCGUGAUAAACAUGUAAUAUAAAGACAGCAUCUCAAAGAGAUAAUUCACAUCGCAGAAAAUCUUGAAAGCUGUUCUCUCAUCACUGAUUACGUUUUUAAUUCACCAAAAAAAUGUCGAGAGUUUUAUUUUUGGUACUUCUGAUAGCGCUGAUAGCUGUUGGCAUAACUACUGCUUGUUUACAAGUUGGUGCUGAGUGUCGCGAACCCAAUGACUGUUGCAACAAUCGAUGCGCGUCAAAUGAGUUUGGAGACAGACACUGUUAUCCAGAUGAUGGAUCUGAUUUUGAUAAUUGAUAAAUCCGUAAAAUGUUGUAGCUAAUAUACAUAACAGUAAUAAAUUUAUUAUACCAUCCUGAAAAAAUAUAUACAUAUUUAUUUCCAUUUAUUAAAAAUCUUUUAGUAUAAUUUGAAUCUAAAAAGGCGUAAAAAUAAUUCUUCAUUAAAAAUGAAUUGUUCGUUUUUUAAAAUUUUAAACAUCCUAAGAUAAGUCAAAAUUUUUUAAUUUGUCAAAAUGUUUAUAUUAUUCAUGUUAACGAUAAAAAGUCUAAAGAUAAAAAUCAUGUCGAUGUCAUUUGCUCUGUCUAUCCAUUUAAGAAUUUUUUAAAAAUUUAUUAGUCGACGUCCAUUAAUUCGGACAGUUAGUCUACGGAGGAGCCGAAAUUUCUUGGAAUUUCCGAGUUAACGAAUGCCCCUUCUUCCUUUAAAAGUUAACUAUACGCAUGCGUUCUUACAUCUACAUGAAUGAUGCAUAGAUUAAUAUAAAAUAUAGUCAUACAAUUGUAUAGCAUCGGGUGGGAGACAGCAUAGUUCGUAGUAAGGGUCAAGAUUCAGGGGUAAGUUCCGAGAUAAUGGAAUUCGAAUUAAUGGAGUUCGACUGUACAUUAAAAAUAAAAUAAUUUAUUAGUUAAAUAUAUAAUAUAAAAUAGUCAACAAUCGGGUAUUUUAUCUUAAUUAUUUUUAUUUGUUUAAAAAAUAUAAUUAACUUAAUAAAAUUGUGUAAAGAUUUUAAAAAGUAAGAAAUCAAAUUUCAUGACACAUAAUUUUUUUAAAUUUGUACUAUAAAUAUAUUUAAAAACAAAAAAUUCUAAAUAUAUAUUUCAGAUCGGUAUUUUUAAAUAAAAGGAUUAUUUCGGCUUACGAUAUUAUCGUAUUUCCGAAAUAACGAGGUGGUGAAAAGUUUCCACCAUCUCCUCAGCGCUCGAUGUCAUGGAUAAUGAAAUUCAUUAUCCAUUAAUCGACAAAGCCAACCUCUCUAUUAGAAAAAUAUUAAGUAGAAAAAAAAAUUUAAUAAAUAAACCUGAAAAAUAUUAAGUAGAACAAAUAUAUAUAUUUAUAACCGGUUAAAUAUAAUUGAUAAAUUCAUUUUAUAUUUUACUUACUUUCUCUUGACAUUUAAAUAAAUUUAAUAUUAUCCCAUUAUCGAAAUUAUUAUUUUUUAUUUUAUUAAUUAUUGUUAAACUUUUAACAAUCGGUGACAACUAGUAUUAGUUACGAAUACUUAUAUAUUUUAUUAUAAAUAUCGUAUGUAGUGUUGUUUGAUUAUUUAUUUGAUUCGCUGUCCAAAAAAGUUCUUCGCCCGGCCGAUACUGAUAUCUAGGAUUUUUGGCGGCAAUUUUGUUUAAUUCAAAUUUAACCCUUUAAUGU